UAGCAGGCUAACAAAUUAGUUUCCUUAAGGCGUGAAGCUCAAUCAACCACCCAGCUUCUCAGUGGGUCAAUCAUAACCAGCUAUCUGAGUGGUUUGGAAUGAGACAAGCAAUAAGAUCAGAGAAGGAAAAGGUAGAGGAGAAAGAAUGAAGGUGUGGAUGAAAAGGUAGAGGAGAAAGAAUGAAGGUGUGGAUGAAAAGGUAGAGGAGAAAGAAUGAAGGUGUGGAUGAAAAGGUAGAGGAGAAAGAAUGAAGGUGUGGAUGAAAAGGUAGAGGAGAAAGAAUGAAGGUGUGGAUGAAAAGGUAGAGGAGAAAGAAUGAAGGUGUGGAUGAAAAGGUAGAGGAGAAAGAAUGAAGGUGUGGAUGAAAAGGUAGAGGAGAAAGAAUGAAGGUGUGGAUGAAAAGGUAGAGGAGAAAGAAUGAAGGUGUGGAUGAAAAGGUAGAGGAGAAAGAAUGAAGGUGUGGAUGAAAAGGUAGAGGAGAAAGAAUGAAGGUGUGGAUGAAAAGGUAGAGGAGAAAGAAUGAAGGUGUGGAUGAAAAGGUAGAGGAGAAAGAAGGAAGGUGUGGAUGAAAAGGUAGAGGAGGAAGAAGGAAGGUGUGGAUGAAAAGGUAGAGGAGAAAGAAUGAAGGUGUGGAUGAAAAGGUAGAGGAGAAAGAAGGAAGGUGUGGAUGAAAAGGUAGAGGAGGAAGAAGGAAGGUGUGGAUGAAAAGGUAGAGGAGGAAGAAGGAAGGUGUGGACAGCAUGGAAUUUGUAGAGAUAAAUAGGCUGGUGUGUUGUGUGUGUUAUCCAAACACAAAAGUGCAAGUGAGCGCACUGACACACACACACACACACACACACACACCUCUAUCCCUACACGACACAGUACAACAAAGCAG